AGAGUUUGAUCCUGGCUCAGGAUGAACGCUGGCGGCAUGCCUAAUACAUGCAAGUCGAACGAGAGGAAGGAAAGCUUGCUUUUCUGAAUCUAGUGGCGAACGGGUGAGUAACACGUAGGUAACCUGCCCAUGUGCCCGGGAUAACUUCUGGAAACGGAUGCUAAAACCGGAUAGGUAGCAGACAAGCAUUUGACUGCUAUUAAAGUGGCUAAGGCCAUGAACAUGGAUGGACCUGCGGUGCAUUAGCUAGUUGGUGAGGUAACGGCCCACCAAGGCGACGAUGCAUAGCCGGCCUGAGAGGGCGGACGGCCACAUUGGGACUGAGACACGGCCCAAACUCCUACGGGAGGCAGCAGUAGGGAAUUUUCGUCAAUGGGGGGAACCCUGAACGAGCAAUGCCGCGUGAGUGAAGAAGGUCUUCGGAUCGUAAAGCUCUGUUGUAAGAGAAAAACGACAUUCAUAGAGAAUGAUGAGUGAGUGAUGGUAUCUUACCAGAAAGUCACGGCUAACUACGUGCCAGCAGCCGCGGUAAUACGUAGGUGGCGAGCGUUAUCCGGAAUGAUUGGGCGUAAAGGGUGCGUAGGUGGCAGAACAAGUCUGGAGUAAAAGGUAUGGGCUCAACCCGUACUGGCUCUGGAAACUGUUCAGCUAGAGAACAGAAGAGGACGGCGGAACUCCAUGUGUAGCGGUAAAAUGCGUAGAUAUAUGGAAGAACACCGGUGGCGAAGGCGGCCGUCUGGUCUGUUGCUGACACUGAAGCACGAAAGCGUGGGGAGCAAAUAGGAUUAGAUACCCUAGUAGUCCACGCCGUAAACGAUAAGAACUAGGUGUUGGGGGGAAUAACUCA
rnacentral:rRNA from 1 species